rnacentral:tRNA from 2 species
GGGUGACUAGUCUAGUGGUCAGGACGCUUCGUUGUGGCCGAAGAAACCCCGGUUCGAUUCCGGGGUCGCCCA